GAAACCCGGUGAUCUAGCCAUGGGCAGGUUGAAGGUUGGGUAACACUAACUGGAGGACCGAACCGACUAAUGUUGAAAAAUUAGCGGAUGACUUGUGGCUGGGGGUGAAAGGCCAAUCAAACCGGGAGAUAGCUGGUUCUCCCCGAAAGCUAUUUAGGUAGCGCCUCGUGAAUUCAUCUCCGGGGGUAGAGCACUGUUUCGGCAAGGGGGUCAUCCCGACUUACCAACCCGAUGCAAACUGCGAAUACCGGAGAAUGUUAUCACGGGAGACACACGGCGGGUGCUAACGUCCGUCGUGAAGAGGGAAACAACCCAGACCGCCAGCUAAGGUCCCAAAGUCAUGGUUAAGUGGGAAACGAUGUGGGAAGGCCCAGACAGCCAGGAUGUUGGCUUAGAAGCAGCCAUCAUUUAAAGAAAGCGUAAUAGCUCACUGGUCGAGUCGGCCUGCGCGGAAGAUGUAACGGGGCUAAACCAUGCACCGAAGCUGCGGCAGCGACACUAUGUGUUGUUGGGUAGGGGAGCGUUCUGUAAGCCUGUGAAGGUGGCCUGUGAGGGUUGCUGGAGGUAUCAGAAGUGCGAAUGCUGACAUAAGUAACGAUAAAGCGGGUGAAAAGCCCGCUCGCCGGAAGACCAAGGGUUCCUGUCCAACGUUAAUCGGGGCAGGGUGAGUCGACCCCUAAGGCGAG
rnacentral:rRNA from 1 species